AACGAACGCUGGCGGCAUGCCUAACACAUGCAAGUCGAACGAAACCUUCGGGUCUUGGGGCGCACGUGUGCUUAACGCGUGGGAACCUGCCCGUAGGUUCGGUAUAACUCCCCUAAAGGUAUGCUAAGAACGGUUAAUGUCUUCGGGGCAAGGAGUUAUCGCCGUUGGAUGGGCCCUCGUAGGAUUAGCUAGUUGGUAGGGGAAAAGCCUAACAAGGAGACGAUCCUGGGCUGGUCUGAUAAGAUGGUCAUGCACACUGGGACUGAGACACGGCCCAGACUCCUACGGGAGGCAGCAGUGGGGAAUAUUGGACAAUGAGCCCAAGCCUGAUCCAGCCAUGCCGCGUGAGUGAUGAAGGCGUUAGGGUUGUAAAUCCCUCUUAACCGGGAUGAUAAUGACAGUACCGGGAGAAUAAGCUCCGGCUAACUCCGUG
rnacentral:rRNA from 1 species